rnacentral:rRNA from 1 species
AGUGAACGCUGGCGGUAGGCCUAACACAUGCAAGUCGAACGGCAGCACAGUAAGAGCUUGCUCUUACGGGUGGCGAGUGGCGGACGGGUGAGGAAUACAUCGGAAUCUACUUUUUCGUGGGGGAUAACGUAGGGAAACUUACGCUAAUACCGCAUACGACCUACGGGUGAAAGCAGGGGAUCUUCGGACCUUGCGCGAUUGAAUGAGCCGAUGUCGGAUUAGCUAGUUGGCGGGGUAAAGGCCCACCAAGGCGACGAUCCGUAGCUGGUCUGAGAGGAUGAUCAGCCACGCUGGAACUGAGGAACGGUCCCGACUCCUACGGGAGGCAGCAGUGGGGAAUAUUGGACAAUGGGCGCAAGCCUGAUCCAGCCAUACCGCGUGGGUGAAGAAGGCCUUCGGGUUGUAAAGCCCUUUUGUUGGGAAAGAAAAGCAGCAGGUUAAUACCCCGCUGUUCUGACGGUACCCAAAGAAUAGGCACCGGCUAACUUCGUG